rnacentral:rRNA from 1 species
GAUGAAUGCUGGCGGCGUGCCUAAUACAUGCAAGUCGAGCGGUAAGGCCCUUCGGGGUACACGAGCGGCGGACGGCUGAGUAACGCGUGGGAACGUGCCCCAAAGUGAGGGAUAACCUCGAGAAAUCGAGGCUAAUACCGCAUAUGGUCUUCGGAUUAAAGGAUUUAUCCGCUUUGGGAGCGGCCCGCGUACGAUUAGUUUGUUGGUGAGGUAAUGGCUCACCAAGACUACGAUCGUUAACUGGUCUGAGAGGAUGAUCAGUCAGACUGGAACUGAGACACGGUCCAGACUCCUACGGGAGGCAGCAGUAAGGAAUCUUCCACAAUGGGCGAAAGCCUGAUGGAGCAACGCCGCGUGCAGGAUGAAGGCCCUCGGGUCGUAAACUGCUUUUAUGAGUGAAGAAUAUGACGGUAACUCAUGAAUAAGCACCGGCUAACUGCGUGCCAGCAGCCGCGGUAAU